GUGCUCAUUUCAGCAGCACAUAUACUAAAAUUGGAACAAUACAAAGAUUAACAUGACCUCUGAACAAGGAUGGCAAGCAAAUUCAUGAAAUGUUCCAUAUUUUU
rnacentral:snRNA from 1 species